GGUGUUGUCCUGCUUGAGCUGCUAACUGGAAAAAAGCCAGUGGAUAUGUCUCAGCCACCAGGUCAAGAGAAUUUGGUCGCUUGGGCACGUCCACUCCUAACGAGUGAAGAAGGUCUGGAGUUGAUUAUGGACCGUAAUUUGGGGCCUGAUUUCCCUUUUGAUGACAUUGUAAAAGUAGCUGCUAUUGCGUCAAUGUGUGUUCAACCAGAGGUGUCACACAGACCUUUCAUGGGUGAGGUUGUCCAGGCCUUAA
rnacentral:misc_RNA from 1 species